rnacentral:rRNA from 1 species
UACGUAGGGUGCAAGCGUUACUCGGAAUUACUGGGCGUAAAGCGUGCGCAGGCGGUUGUGCAAGACAGAUGUGAAAUCCCCGGGCUCAACCUGGGAACUGCAUUUGUGACUGUACGGCUGGAGUGCGGCAGAGGGGGAUGGAAUUCCACGUGUAGCGGUGAAAUGCGUAGAGAUGUGGAGGAACACCAAUGGCGAAGGCAGCCUUCUGGGCCAACACUGACGCUCAUGCACGAAAGCGUGGGGAGCAAACAGG